rnacentral:rRNA from 1 species
UACGGGGGGAGCAAGCGUUGUUCGGAUUUACUGGGCGUAAAGGGCGCGUAGGCGGCCACCGCAAGUCAGUUGUGAAAUCUCUGGGCUUAACCCAGAAAGGUCAACUGAUACUGCGGGGCUAGAGUGCAGAAGGGGCAACUGGAAUUCUCGGUGUAGCGGUGAAAUGCGUAGAUAUCGGAAGGAACAUCAGUGGCGAAAGCGGCUUCCUGGACCAGUACCGACGUUCAGGCACGAAAGCGUGGGGAGCAAACAGG